rnacentral:tmRNA from 1 species
GGGACUGAAAGGAUCUCUACAUGUUUAAUACAUUAAAUGCUUUUAAUAUGUUUAUUCUGUACAUAUAAUUUUUCAUUAAUUGCAAAACAUAAUAUUAUAGCUUUUUCUAGAGAUUUAGUUCAUGCAUAAAUCUCUGGAUAUUAAAUUAAAAUAGAAAUGAAAAAAUUUAUGUUUUUUUAUAACUGCCCUAAUUUAACAUACUGUUUUGUUAGCAAAGUAUUUAUCUAAGAGGAUUUAAAUCCAAAAGUAUUAUUAUAUUUUAGUUAGCAUUUAAUCUACUAAUAAGCAUGGACGUGGGUUCGAAUCCCACCAGUUCCA